rnacentral:rRNA from 1 species
AUGGUUAACACCAUGUUAGACACAUCGGGUCUUUCCAAGGAAUGGUGGGGGGAGGCGCUAAUGACUGCGUGUCAUGUCCUAAACCGAGUUCCCAGAAAGCAUAAGACCAUGACUCCAUUUGAGGAAUGGGAAAGGAAAAGAUUGAAACUCCCUUACCUACGUACUUGGGGUUGUUUGGCGAAGGUCAAUAUACCAAUUUCCAAGAAGCGCAAGCUUGGACCAAAAACCGUGGAUUGUGUUCUUUUGGGCUAUGCUUUUCAUAGCAUCGGCUAUAGAUUUUUGAUAAUAAAAUCUAAGGUAUCCGACAUGCAUUUUGGUACGAUUAUGGAGUCGAAUGAUGCAACUUUCUUUGAGGACAUAUUUCCUAUGAAGGAUAUGUUGAGUUCAUCAAAUCAGGAGAUACCUACUCCAUCUAGUGAGGAAUUCGCUGUAAUUCCUGAACCCACCAUUGCGAUGGAACACGUUGAGAAUCCUGUUGAGGGUGACAAUGGAACUCCUGUGAGGAGUAAGAGACAGAGGACUGCAAAGUCUUUUGGUGAUGAUUUCAUUGUGUAUCUUGUGGAUGACACACCCAGGACUAUUUCAGAAGCCUAUGCAUCUCCUGAUGCUGACUACUGGAAGGAAGCUGUUCGUAGCGAGAUGGAUUCCAUCUUAGCUAACGGUACCUAG